UAAAGACCCAACAUUAAAAAAAGAGACCGCCUUUCUGUGGUUUGGGAACAGCAUCUUGAUGUGAAAUAAUCUUGAAGAUGAGGUCCAAUGUUUUCUUUUGACAUAGGUUAACAAUGCAACAAGUUGCUGUUGUGGAGGGAGACAAGAAAAGCAGGUGUUGUCUGAACUCACGAGAAGAUGCUUGCUCUGAAGAGUUUACAAUCUACUAACACACGCAGCCUUGGAAAUGAGAGACAGUGGGACACAACAAAGCAUAACAGAAGAGGUGAGACGUGGAGGCAAAGUGAGCAGUUGCCAUUUUGGAUCAGUUUGGCCCUUGUGGAUGUUCCAUGCAACGUGGGAGAAUGUGUGAUGACUGGUGUGGGCUUGGCUGGUGGCUUGUCAAAACUGUCAACGCUGGUGAGCAAGAGAGUUGUGAAAAGAAACAAGCACAGAUAAGUAAGGAGAGACAGAGCUGUGAAGGCUUUGGAAAGUGAGGAUGAGAAGGUGGAAUUUAGAAUUCCCAUCACAA